rnacentral:rRNA from 1 species
AGCGAACGCUGGCGGCAGGCCUAACACAUGCAAGUCGAACGAAGUCUUCGGACUUAGUGGCGGACGGGUGAGUAACACGUGGGAACGUGCCCUUUGGUACGGAAUAACUCAGGGAAACUUGAGCUUAUACCGUAUGUGCCCUUCGGGGGAAAGAUUUAUCGCCAUUGGAGCGGCCCGCGUCUGGUUAGCUAGUUGGUGAGGUAAAGGCUCACUAAGGCGACGAUCAGUAGCUGGUCUGAGAGGAUGAUCAGCCACAUUGGGACUGAGACACGGCCCAAACUCCUACGGGAGGCAGCAGUGGGGAAUCUUGCGCAAUGGGCGAAAGCCUGACGCAGCCAUGCCGCAUGAAUGAUGAAGGUCUUAGGAUUGUAAAAUUCUUUCACCGGGGACGAUAAUGACGGUACCCGGAGAAGAAGCCCCGGCUAACUUCGUGCCAGCCGCCGCGGUAA